GCCCUCGUAGUUCAGCGGAUAGAACGUCGGCUUCCGGAGCCGAAGGUCAGGGGUUCAAAUCCUCUCGAGGGCGCCA
rnacentral:tRNA from 1 species